GCCCCCGUAGCUCAGUUGGCAGAGCACCUAUAUACCGCCUCCGGUUUCCUUCGAUGGAGGUGGAGAGGUGGUUACUUCGCCCUGUGUAAGGCGGUGGUCGCAGGUUCGAAUCCUGCCGGGGGUG
rnacentral:tRNA from 1 species